rnacentral:rRNA from 1 species
GACGAACGCUGGCGGCGUGCUUAACACAUGCAAGUCGAACGGAAAGGCCCUGCUUUUGUGGGGUGCUCGAGUGGCGAACGGGUGAGUAACACGUGAGUAACCUUCCCUUGACUUUGGGAUAACUUCAGGAAACUGGGGCUAAUACCGGAUAGGAGCACCUGCUGCAUGGGGGGGGUUGGAAAGUCUCGGCGGUUGGGGAUGGACUCGCGGCUUAUCAGCUUGUUGGUGGGGUAGUGGCUUACCAAGGCUUUGAAGGGUAGCCGGCCCGGGAGGGGGAACGGGCACCAUGGGACUGAGGUACGGACCAGAGUCCAACGGGAGGCAGCAGUGGGGAAUAUUAGCCAAUGGGGGGAAGCCUGAUGCAGAAACGGCCGGUGGGGGAAGAACGCCUUCGGGUUGUAAACCGCUUUCGCCUGUGACGAAGCGUGAGUGACGGUAAUGGGUAAAGAAGCACCGGCUAACUACGUG